rnacentral:rRNA from 1 species
AUUGAACGCUGGCGGCAUGCUUUACACAUGCAAGUCGAACGGCAGCGCGGGCUUCGGCCUGGCGGCUAGUGGCGCACGGGUGAGUAAUGCAUCGGAACGUGCCCAGUAGUGGUGGAUAGCCCGGCGAAAGCCGGAUUAAUACCGCAUACGACCUGCUGGUGCAACCUGGGGGCCGAAAGGCCUCGCCCUCUUUGAGCGGCCGAGGUCGGGUUUGCUAGUUGGUGGGGUAAAGGCUUACCAAGGCGGCGAUCCGUAGCUGGACUGAGAGGACGACCAGCCACACGGGGAGUGAGACACGGACAAGACGACUACGGGAGGGAGCAGUGGGGAAUGUGGGACAAUGGGGGGAAACAUGGCACAGUGAGGGCGAGUGCGAGAAGAAGGCGUUGGGUGUGGAAACAGGGUCUGUGCGGGAAGAAAUCCUUUGGGCUAAGACCAAGGGGGGAUGACGGUACCGGAAGAAGAAGCACCGGCUAACUACGUG